rnacentral:misc_RNA from 1 species
CACAAUAAAAUAUGAAGGCUGUACGCGGCUGUGCUCUCGGGCCAGUUUUGCGGAGGCUGAAUUAUUUAUUACCCUUGUCUUUUGCGCACUUGUUGUUUCCUGGGCGGGUUCGCCCGCCACCAGGACCACAUCAUAAACCUUUUUUAUGUAGUUGCAAUUCAGAGUCAGUAUAAAAUAGUAAAUCAUUA